rnacentral:tRNA from 1 species
CUUCCCCUAGUUUAAAUAGAACAAUUGUUUUGCAUACAAUAAGUAGGCCAGCCUGAGGAAGU